UGGGGAAUUUUGGACAAUGGGCGAAGCUGAUCCAGCAAUGCCGCGUGUGUGAAGAAGGCCUUCGGGUUGUAAAGCACUUUUGUCCGGAAAGAAAUCCUUGGCUCUAAUACAGUCGGGGGAUGACGGUACCGGAAGAAUAAGCACCGGCUAACUACGUGCCAGCAGCCGCGGUAAUACGUAGGGUGCAAGCGUUAAUCGGAAUUACUGGGCGUAAAGCGUGCGCAGGCGGUUUGCUAAGACCGAUGUGAAAUCCCCGGGCUCAACCUGGGAACUGCAUUGGUGACUGGCAGGCUAGAGUAUGGCAGAGGGGGGUAGAAUUCCACGUGUAGCAGUGAAAUGCGUAGAGAUGUGGAGGAAUACCGAUGGCGAAGGCAGCCCCCUGGGCCAAUACUGACGCUCAUGCACGAAAGCGUGGGGAGCAAAACAGGAUUAGAUACCCUGGUAGUCCACGCCCUAAAACGAUGUCAACUA
rnacentral:rRNA from 1 species